rnacentral:lncRNA from 1 species
AUGGUUGGAUGAUGAUGAAAGUUGAGGUUUAAAGGGGAGGUGGUUAUAGAGUUUGGGGAAUUUGAGAGGAAAAUAGGGUUGGAGAAGAUGAAUUGGCUGAAAAGUGAGUGGGGGAGUGGUAAAAAAUGAGUAAAAACGUGUGGGCCCCACUCCAGUCUUUUUAAAAAGUAAAAAAAAAAUCUGAGUUACGCACUGCAACA